AUUGAACGCUGGCGGCAUGCCUUACACAUGCAAGUCGAACGGCAGCACGGGUGCUUGUACCUGGUGGCGAGUGGCGAACGGGUGAGUAAUACAUAGGAACAUGUCAUGUCGUGGGGGAUAGCCCGGCGAAAGCCGGAUUAAUACCGCAUACGAUCUACGGGUGAAAGCGGGGGCCCUCCGGGCCUCGCGCUAUAGGGUUGGCAGAUAGCUGAUUAGCUAGGUGGUGGGGUAAAGGCCUACCAAGGCGACGAUCAGUAGCUGGUCUGAGAGGACGACCAGCCACACUGGGACUGAGACACGGCCCAGACUCCUACGGGAGGCAGCAGUGGGGAAUUUUGGACAAUGGGCGAAAGCCUGAUCCAGCAAUGCCGCGUGUGUGAAGAAGGCCUUCGGGUUGUAAAGCACUUUUGUCCGGAAAGAAAUCCUUGGCUCUAAUACAGUCGGGGGAUGACGGUACCGGAAGAAUAAGCACCGGCUAACUACGUG
rnacentral:rRNA from 1 species